UUCCUGUGCCUAGGCCGGACUGACAGGAAGUGAGAGCACUUCCUGUCAGUCCGGCCAGGUACAGGAA